UACGUAGGUGGCGAGCGUUGUCCGGAUUUACUGGGAGUAAAGGGAGCGUAGGCGGACUUUUAAGUGAGAUGUGAAAUACCCGGGCUCAACUUGGGUGCUGCAUUUCAAACUGGAAGUCUAGAGUGCAGGAGAGGAGAAUGGAAUUCCUAGUGUAGCGGUGAAAUGCGUAGAGAUUAGGAAGAACACCAGUGGCGAAGGCGAUUCUCUGGACUGUAACUGACGCUGAGGCUCGAAAGCGUGGGGAGCAAACAGGAUUAGAUA
rnacentral:rRNA from 1 species